GACGAACGCUGGCGGCGUGCCUAAUACAUGCAAGUAGAACGCUGAAGGAGGAGCUUGCUUCUCUGGAUGAGUUGCGAACGGGUGAGUAACGCGUAGGUAACCUGCCUUGUAGCGGGGGAUAACUAUUGGAAACGAUAGCUAAUACCGCAUAAGAGUAGAUGUUGCAUGACAUUUGCUUAAAAGGUGCAAUUGCAUCACUACCAGAUGGACCUGCGUUGUAUUAGCUAGUUGGUGGGGUAACGGCUCACCAAGGCGACGAUACAUAGCCGACCUGAGAGGGUGAUCGGCCAAACUGGGACUGAGACACGGCCCAGACUCCUACGGGAGGCAGCAGUAGGGAAUCUUAGGCAAUGGACGGAAGUCUGACCGAGCAACGCCGCGUGAGUGAAGAAGGUUGUCGGAUCGUAAAGCUCUGUUGUAAGAGAAGAACGAGUGUGAGAGUGGAAAGUUCACACUGUGACGGUAUCUUACCAGAAAGGGACGGCUAACUACGUG
rnacentral:rRNA from 1 species